rnacentral:rRNA from 1 species
GUAAGCUACUAAGAGCGAACGGUGGAUGCCUUGGCUAGUAGAGGCGAUGAAAGACGUGCCAGACUGCGAUAAGUCUCGGGGAGCCGUCAAGGGGCUUUGAUCCGGGAAUUUCUGAAUGGGGCAACCCAAUACAUAGCGAUAUGUGUUACCAUUAAUGGAGCCAACGCGGGGAACUGAAACAUCUAAGUACCCGCAGGAAGAGAAAUCAAUAGAGAUUACGCUAGUAGCGGCGAGCGAACGCGUAAGAGGGCAAACCACUAGUUUACUAGUGGGGUUGUAGGACCGCAACAUAGACUAGGAUCUGAUAAUAGAACAAUCUGGAAAGGUUAGGCAUAGAGGGUGAUACUCCCGUAUAUGAAAUCACAUCCUUACUUAGCGGUAUCCUGAGUAGGACGGGACACGUGAAAUCCUGUCUGAAGCCGGGUCGACCACGAUCCAACCCUAAAUACUACUACUAGACCGAUAGCGUACAAGUACCGUGAGGGAAAGGUGAAAAGAACGGCGGUGAGCCGAGUGAAAUAGAACCUGAAACCGUUUGCUUACAAUCAUUCAGAGCACUAUGCUAUACUCUUUAAAAUUAAUCCAACUUGGCUUUUUAGCCCUUUUUUAUGAAACUGCGACUGCGGCAGCCAGAUACGGCUAGCCUUGUCUUGUUUCAUAAAAAAUCAUCUAAAAAUCCUGCGCAUUUGAAAUUCUAAAUUUUGAUCUGAUAAAAUUUCAUCAUAAAUGACACAAACAGAGCUUUAUGGUCUAAAUUUAGAAGUAACGAUUAACGAUUAGUUUUAAUGAGUAUAGCAGUGUGAUGGACUGCCUUUUGCAUAAUGAGCCUGCGAGUUGUGGUGUCUGGCGAGGUUAAGGAAACCCGGAGCCGUAGCGAAAGCGAGUCUUAAUAGGGCGAUUAGUCAGAUGCUGCAGACCCGAAACGAUGUGAUCUAUCCAUGAGCAGGUUGAAGCCGGUGUAAGAGCCGGUGGAGGACCCAACCGACGGCCGUUGAAAAGGCUCCGGAUGACUUGUGGAUAGGGGUGAAAGGCCAAUCAAACAUCGUGAUAGCUGGUUCUCUCCGAAAUAUAUUGAGGUAUAGCGUCGUGUAGUAGUUAUAAGGGGUAGAGCACUGAAUGGGCUAGGGCAUACACCAAUGUACCAAACCCUAUCAAACUCCGAAUACUUAUAGCGUAACCACGGCAGUCAGGCGGCGAGUGAUAAAAUCCGUCGUCAAGAGGGAAACAACCCGGACUAACAGCUAAGGUCCCCAAAUCUCAUUUAAGUGGAAAACGAUGUGAAGUUACUGAAACAACCAGGAGGUUGGCUUAGAAGCAGCCAUCCUUUAAAGAUAGCGUAAUAGCUCACUGGUCUAGUGAUUUUGCGCGGAAAAUAUAACGGGGCUAAAAUGAGUACCGAAGCUUUAGACUUGCACUUAAUCAUUUAUACUAGCUCGUCUUUUGGCGAUAAAUUAAUGAGUUCGAUUUUUUCUCAAUCGAUAGGCUAAAAGCCUUAUCUCAAAUCGAAAAAAUCUUCACAACAUUAAUUUCUCAUCAAAAAUACUUCGCUUUCUAUAUUCAAAUUUUAAAGAUUUCGAACUUUGUUAAUUUUAAAAUUUUUUAGAAUUUUAAAAUCCCAACUUAGAUAUUUAAAAUUUAACAACCAAGAGGCGAAGAAAGACAAACAAAACUUUAAGAUAUCGGAUAAAUUCUUAAAUAUCUUAAGUUUUAAAUUUGAACAAAGCCGUAAGAAAAGUAUAAAUCAUUAAGUGCAAGUGGUAGGAGAGCGUUCCAAUCAGCGUCGAAGCCGUACCGGUAAGGAGCGGUGGAGCGGUUGGAAGUGAGCAUGCAGGCAUGAGUAGCGAUAAAAUACGUGAGAAUCGUAUUCGCCGUAAACCCAAGGUUUCCUACGCGAUGCUCGUCAUCGUAGGGUUAGUCGGGUCCUAAGCAAAGUCCGAAAGGGGUAUGCGAUGGAAAAUCGGUUAAUAUUCCGAUACCGAUAUCAGUGUGCGACGGAAGGACGCUUAAAGUUAGUGGAGCUAGCGGAUGGAAGUGCUAGUCUAAGGAAGUAGGUUGAGUUAUAGGCAAAUCCGUAACUCUUUAUCCGAGAUCUGAAAGGCUUCUGACGCUCUUCGGAGUAGAUGAAGAAUCCAUGAUACUAUCGAGCCGAGAAAAGUUUCUAAGUUUAGCUGAUAUCGCCCGUACCGUAAACCGACACAGGUGGGUGGGAUGAGUAUUCUAAGGCGCGUGGAAGAACUCUCUUUAAGGAACUCUGCAAAAUAGCACCGUAUCUUCGGUAUAAGGUGUGCCUAGCUUCGUUAAGAAUUUACUUCGUAAGCGAAGAAGGUUACAACAAAGAGUCCCUCCCGACUGUUUACCAUAAACACAGCACUCUGCUAACUCGUAAGAGGAUGUAUAGGGUGUGACGCCUGCCCGGUGCUCGAAGGUUAAUUGAUGACGUUAGCUUACGCAAAGCGUCUGAUCGAAGCCCGAGUAAACGGCGGCCGUAACUAUAACGGUCCUAAGGUAGCGAAAUUCCUUGUCGGUUAAAUACCGACCUGCAUGAAUGGCGUAACGAGAUGGGAGCUGUCUCAAAGAGGGAUCCAGUGAAAUUGUAGUGGAGGUGAAAAUUCCUCCUACCCGCGGCAAGACGGAAAGACCCCGUGGACCUUUACUAUAGCUUGACACUGCUACUUGGAUAAAGAUGCGCAGGAUAGGUGGGAGGCUUUGAGUCGUAGAUCUCGGUUUACGAUGAGCCAUUGUUGAGAUACCACUCUUCUUUAUUCGGGUAGCUAACUAGCCUAAGUUAUCCUUAGGUAGGACAAUGUCUGGUGGGUAGUUUGACUGGGGCGGUCGCCUCCCAAAAUGUAACGGAGGCUUACAAAGGUUGGCUCAAAGCGGUUGGAAAUCGCUUGUAGAGUAUAAAGGCAAAAGCCAGCUUAACUGCGAGACAUACACGUCGAGCAGAGACGAAAGUCGGUCUUAGUGAUCCGGUGGUUCUGUGUGGAAGGGCCAUCGCUCAAAGGAUAAAAGGUACCCCGGGGAUAACAGGCUGAUCUCCCCCAAGAGCUCACAUCGACGGGGAGGUUUGGCACCUCGAUGUCGGCUCAUCGCAUCCUGGGGCUGGAGCAGGUCCCAAGGGUAUGGCUGUUCGCCAUUUAAAGCGGUACGCGAGCUGGGUUCAGAACGUCGUGAGACAGUUCGGUCCCUAUCUGCCGUGGGCGUAAGAAGAUUGAGGAGAGUUGACCCUAGUACGAGAGGACCGGGUUGAACCGACCACUGGUGUACCGGUUGUUCUGCCAAGAGCACCGCCGGGUAGCUAAGUCGGGAUGCGAUAAGAGCUGAAAGCAUCUAAGCUCGAAGCCGACUCCAAGAUGAAUCUUCUUUUAAGAGCUCUAGUAGACUACUAGUUUGAUAGGCCGGAUGUGUAAUGGAUGAAAGUCCUUUAGCUGACCGGUACUAAUAGCUCGUUUGCUUAUCUUUU